GGGGAUAGGGAAGGAGCGGGCGCGUCGGUGGGACGAGAGGACGAGACUGGAUGGGUUUGGGGUUGGUCAGGCCGAGGUUUUAGAGUGGGUGUCAGGUCGUCGUAGCGGCACUGGACCUCGACGGCGGCAGGGCAUCGAGACGAAGCGGUGGCUGCGGAGUUAGGGAGGGGGGUUGUGGGGGUCUUGGGAGGGCGCACCGGCGGUAGCGGCAGGGGAAAGACGGGGGUGGGGCAAGAGUUAGGGCGUGUAAACAAAGGUUCGGUGUUCGCGUGGGACGGGACUUGAACGACUCUAUAUUUCACAAACUCUGUAUUGACGUCAAUAGCUCGACUCCACGACACAAACUGUAACGAGUCAUUAUCGUAUUUACUCCGAUUAAUACCCCGUUCAAGUAGCCUUACAAGAACGCGACCGCAGUAGAGCCAGUACGAAACAGUAGCCACUGGUAGAGGGCAAGUCUUACGACAGCAACGGUGCCCGUAGUCCCAAGGUAGUCUGACGAACCGCCCCAUCAGUUUGACAGCUCCUGUCGCCGUCGUGUGAUUGAGACCGAUCGGACCUUCAGGUUUCGUUUCGACUAAUACACUUCUUCCUUUCCCACGGUGUUUCGUUUCGACUAAUGCACUUCUUCCUUUCCCACGGUGUUUCGUUUCGACUAAUACACUUCUUCCUUUCCCACGUUGCUUGACCUCCCGGCUUCCGUUCGAGUUCUCUAAGACGAAAGUCACACUUUGGUUUCUUCCCAAGAUGCGAAUCAGACUUCGGUCGCUUCUCACGGAAUGGUUUCGGUGGUCACCACUUCUUCUUUGACUUCUAGCUGCUCCGAAAUAAAAGACGUUCAAGUAAACUUCUUGAGCCAAACGGCGGAAACGAGUAACUGGCCGACUUGUUCCUUCCGGACUGGAGAGGUUGACUCCAGGUCAGGCGAAGAUAAGGACAGUAUAGUGUUUCCGUACUACGCCAAUAGGUUAGUAUAUGACCCAGCCCCUUUUGUGAACGCAUGGAAGAGGGAUAAGAAAGACUUUAUCCGGGGGACUUCUCCCGAUCUCUUGUCCCAUUAAGACUUUUCUCUAGUCCAUAUCUUCGACAACAGCAACGAGGAAGUUCUCUUGAUCCUUACGUCUAUCACGCUCUUCACCUCUUCUAAGACCCAGGACUACUAUUCUCUGAACAGGUCGUCGAACAACCGCCACGAUUGGCAAGCUCCGUUCUCCUUCGUGACUUCUUCUUGUUCGGAUAAUAUCAACAACCUUGUGGACCUGCGUAAAGCCUUUAAAGUCGCCGCCCAUUCGAUGUUUGAGUAUUGACGGCAAAAGAACAUGAUCUACUUCAACUGGUCGAGAAUAGUAAGUUAAUGGCACUCCUAUACGUAUCUUAUGACCUCGUGCAACCUUCCUUUGGAUCGUGAAGUAGAAGAUCAGUGUAGGAACCAGGUGAACGAUCCGCCAGACUGGCGGUCUGUUAGAACCAAAGUCGUUGUCACGGCAAAAGUCAAUAUGCACGUCGGUCCUCAACCCCGGUACUAGGUCAAGAACAAUCCCGAUUCUCACAUCAGGGCGAACUGAGCUAGUGACAAGGUUCCGGGUACGACAGGGUCCCACUGGGAUUGAGACUAAGGGGUUGUUACAGUCACUUAGUUCGACGUCAACUGUCGAAUGGCGGUAGCAACCUCGUAAUGAUGACAUGUUGGUUCCGAGUGGUGUUUCAACUGUGAAAUUCCUCUACGUAGGUACGGGACCUUCGUCUCUGCCACUAACGUAAAUACUUGUUGUGGUUCGGUGACUUCCUACAACACAAAUUCAACCUCCGGGCACCCUACUUUCGAUAGCUCGAUGUACCUCUAGAACCCUUCGAACGUUCCAGUUGUCAAGAAUUUUUCAAGUUCCGUCCACUUAAGUCCCAAGACCAGUGUUUGCUCGACAGGCGGUCUCCUGACCUGUAUGGUCUUACGCUGGAACACUAGUUGGACCUAGAAGGGUGUCUGAGAUGCGUGAUGCGGGUGUCUCGACCGGCCUGACCUGCAGAACCCGCCUUUCCCUGGCACCAGAGUUAUACACUUCUUUCACUCCGUAAAUAGUACUCCUUUUACGCGUUCGUCAAUCCACACCGGUAGUUCGGUACACUUAAGUGGCUUCCGGUCUAAUGGCAAGUAUUCCUCCUUCUGCACCUUAUCUUGAGACGUAACGAGUUGGUAGCAAAAUCAAACAGAAUUCACGAUGACAAAAAAGCAACCGUAAAUCAGGCUGACAUAAAAGAAUUUUACAACGGUGAAUUAUGAAAACGAGUCGCCUCUGAUCUAUGUAACCUUUUAUGUACCAGGAAAAAACGACCAUCGUAAGUCGUCCUCACGUCCCGUAACUUUAGACUUUUAAUGGUCAGAAAAGACCACUGCAAAUCGACAAAUAAAAAGUUACGUACCAACUACAAGU
rnacentral:rRNA from 1 species